CAUUAAGUAGCUUAAAAACAAGCAUUGGUCUCUUAAACCAAAAUAUAGUAAUAGAUGAUACUCUUAAUGA
rnacentral:tRNA from 1 species